GGUUCGGGAGCACGCCCGUGGGAAGGCGCGCAAGUAUUGAACCUCACCUCCCUUGUCCAAGUGGCAUGCCACCCGGCCCCGGGGUGACAUG
rfam:Thalassobacter arenae DSM 19593 genomic scaffold Contig343, whole genome shotgun sequence.